rnacentral:rRNA from 1 species
UACGUAGGGUGCAAGCGUUGUCCGGAAUUAUUGGGCGUAAAGAGCUCGUAGGCGGUCUGUCGCGCCUGCUGUGAAAACUCAGGGCUUAACCCUGAGCUUGCAGUGGGUACGGGCAAACUAGAGUGCGGUAGGGGAGACUGGAAUUCCUGGUGUAGCGGUGAAAUGCGCAGAUAUCAGGAGGAACACCGGUGGCGAAGGCGGGUCUCUGGGCCGUAACUGACGCUGAGGAGCGAAAGCAUGGGGAGCGAACAGG